UACGGGGGGAGCAAGCGUUGUUCGGAUUUACUGGGCGUAAAGGGCGCGUAGGCGGCCUCCGCAAGUCGACUGUGAAAUCUCCGGGCUUAACCCGGAACGGUCAGCCGAUACUGCGGGGCUAGAGUGCAGAAGGGGCAACUGGAAUUCUCGGUGUAGCGGUGAAAUGCGUAGAUAUCGAGAGGAACACCUGCGGCGAAGGCGGCAUCCUGGCCCUGUCCUGACGCUCAGGGGCGAAAGCGUGGGGAGCAAACCGG
rnacentral:rRNA from 1 species